GCCAGUGUGGCAUAGUGGUUUGUGUGUCGGAUUACAGCUCUGGAAAACAGGGUUCAAUUCUCUGGUCAGCCA